rnacentral:lncRNA from 1 species
UCUGACCUUGACUUACAGCUUCCGAAUUGUGAGAAAGUAUAUUUGUGCUGUUUAAGCCACCCUGUUAAUGGUACUUUGUGAUGGCACCUGAGCUAACAAAUAUAGUCUGUCUUCUGAAAGUGGUAUUUUUACACACUGAUAUUCAUUAAAAUGAAGGAAGUGUUUGCACGCCAACUAUAUUUGGGUCAAAGUAUCAAAUCAAGUCCGAAAAAGCAGUAAAAAAAUACUCAACAUAUUUUUUUCAGCCUCUCAUGGAAACAGGAAAAAGGAGAAGCAUGAUCUUAUUUUACCAGAAAGGAACAGAACCGACCUGGACCUGGCUCACAGUAAGAUGCAGUGGAACUAAAUCUAAGAUAACAUUGUUUACCUGCAAACGGCAAUGACCAAAAAGGUUGGUAUCUCAAGAGUUUUGCAGUGAUGCAGAGAGAGACAGGCACUAAUUGCUUUGGUGAGUAUACAGUUUUACAGUCUUUAUAGAGAACAAGUAAGUAACAUUUUGUCAAAAUUAAAACUAUGCAUACAUUUCUAGGAACUGAGAGUUCAGCAAUUCCAGCUUCCAAGAAUUUACCCUACACACAUUCUCUUACUUACGCAAAAUGACACACGUGCAAGGACAUUUAUCGUAGCACUUUUUUAUGGUAGCAAAAGAGUGUCAUUAGACUGGAAGUCCAUCAAUAGGAAAAUAGGAAACUGG